AUUGAACGCUGGCGGCAUGCCUUACACAUGCAAGUCGAACGGCAGCAUGGAAGAGCUUGCUCUUCUGAUGGCGAGUGGCGAACGGGUGAGUAAAGCAUCGGAACGUACCGUGUAGUGGGGGAUAACGUAGCGAAAGUUACGCUAAUACCGCAUACGCACUGAGGUGGAAAGCAGGGGAUCGCAAGACCUUGCGCUAUACGAGCGGCCGAUGUCAGAUUAGCUAGUUGGUAGGGUAAAGGCCUACCAAGGCGACGAUCUGUAGCGGGUCUGAGAGGAUGAUCCGCCACACUGGGACUGAGACACGGCCCAGACUCCUACGGGAGGCAGCAGUGGGGAAUUUUGGACAAUGGGCGAAAGCCUGAUCCAGCCAUGCCGCGUGAGUGAAGAAGGCCUCGGUUGUAAGACUCUUCGUCUGGGAGAAAUACGCACAGGCGUAAUAACUCUGUGUGGAGUGACGGUACCGACGCACAAGAAGACG
rnacentral:rRNA from 1 species